rnacentral:rRNA from 1 species
GUGAGGAAUUUUCCGCAAUGGGCGAAAGCCUGACGGAGCAAUGCCGCGUGAAGGAUGAAGGCCUAUGGGUUGUAAACUUCUUUUCUCAGAAAAGAAUUAUGACGGUAUCUGAGGAAUAAGCAUCGGCUAACUCUGUGCCAGCAGCCGCGGUAAGACAGAGGAUGCAAGCGUUAUCCGGAAUGAUUGGGCGUAAAGCGUCUGUAGGUUGUUUAAAAAGUAUUCUGUCAAAGAUUAGGGCUUAACCCUAGAUAGGCAGAAUAAACUUUUAAGCUAGAGUUUGGUAGAGGCAGAGGGAAUUCCCGGUGGAGCGGUGAAAUGCGUAGAUAUCGGGAGGAACACCAAAGGCGAAGGCACUCUGCUGGGCCAAUACUAACACUGAGAGACGAAAGCGAGGGGAGCAAAUGGGAUUAGAUUCCCGGGUAGUCC